rnacentral:lncRNA from 1 species
GAGACCCAGCCGGGAGUGGCGGGUGCCUUUUACCGACCCGGGACCCCCGAGAGAGAGGGCGGCAGGGAGGGACUCCAGGGGAGCAGCGGGGAGCUGUAUUCCCUCUUUCCUAGGGACUAGAGUCCUGCGGAAAGAAGACGUGCUUGGAAGGCUGGAGGCCGGUCCCGCGUCUGCCACUGACGGGCGGGGUGGUCUUGGGUUAAUUUCCUCGGCUCUCGGGGCCUGGGAGACGUAGACUAGAACUAGAAGGCCUUCCAGUUCAGGGUCUGCGUUUUCCCAAAGUGGGUUAAACAGCCUCCGACCGUCCAUCGUCCAUGGGCUCGAUAAGCGGAUCUUGGGGGACAGAGACUCAGCCCCAAGGACAUUUCCUUGGAUGUCCAUUGCCUAAGUGGAAGUAGGGAAAGAGGAGUAAGACCUGUUGGAGUUACUAAGGAUUAGCCCUAAGCUAACAUCUGCCAAUCCUCCUCUUUUUGUUGAGGAAGACUGGCCCUGAGCUAACAUCCGUGCCCAUCUUCCUCUACUUUAUACGUGGGACGCCUACCACAGCAUGGCUUGCCAAGCGGUGCCCUGUCUGCACCCGGGAUCCGAACCAGCGAACCCCAGGCUGCUGAAGUGGAACAUGCGAACUUAACCGCUGUGCCACCUGGCCGGCCCCUAGAUUUCCUUUUAGUUGAGGACUUGAAGUUAUUUCUACUAAAAUAAAUAAAGGAAGUCUUGCAUUCCAUCAACUUGUGUGUAAUUGUCUCCCGAUCAAAGUCAUCUCCUGCUGACUUCAGUUUUAUUUCAUCUUAAAUCAUUUUC